ensembl:lncRNA
CCAAAAUGUAUAUUCUUGCAAAAAAUAAAAAAUAAAAAAACUUACGUACGUACGUAAGUCCAGCGUAAGUCCUGCGCGAGGCGUCAUUUAGCCCAAAGAUUCGAUUGUUGUUUUUAUUCAGUUUUUCUGAACCCGAGCGGAGCGGCAGCUUUUCACCGAGGAGGACUCCAUCUUUCAGCGACUAAAACCACUUUAUUGUUCUAUAUACACUGUUUAAUUAUCUGUAUUGUCUUAUAAUUAUAAUAUAAUUUACCUGUUAUCUGUGUUGUAUUGUUACUAACUCUUUUUAUUUCUUUUUCAGGUUAAAAAGCCGGUGUGGGCUCGACCCCCCCACGGUCUGGUAUGGGCUGGCGGCGUUUUUUCGGGGUUUACACCCUAGAGGCGGAGUGCGAUGUUCCUGAAGAUUCUUCUUGUUGCACUUCGCCUUUUAAUCCUGUGAAUGUCAUGGACUCUGAUGUGGAGGACGAUGGAAGGCAGGCCUGUGAUGGAGAGGUGUUGGAGCCAGCUUCCGAACUACAGGUCAGAGUUAAAGCAACGUACAUAUAUAUAUAUUUUGCUGAUAUAACACUGAAAAUAUUCCCCCACUGUGGGACUAAUAAAGGAUUUUUUUUCUGUUCUCUCGGACAGUGCCAGGAAGCACAUACAGCAGACCUCGCCCCCACACUCCACCAAGAGCCAUCAUCCAUCCAGGGAGACACAAGAGUUCACUCUUUAAAAAUGGUAAGAAAAGGGGGGUUCUUUAGUAAAGGUAAAGGUUCAUAGAACCAUUAAACUCAAAGAACUGUGUGGAUUUUUGUGUGAAAAUAUUUUUAGUUGUAUUAAAUGGUAAAUAGGUUUUAUACAUUGUCUUACGUUAUUGUGUGUUUAUGUAACUUUUUCCAUGCAGAGAGGAUGGCUUCAGUUCUUCUGCUGCUGCUUCCCUGUGAGGAGGACGAGGAGGGUUGCAGACAGCAGCAGAGCAUGAGCAUGAGCAAAAUAGAUACAUACAGUACACACAUACAUACACACAUUAAAACACACAUAUAUAUACAUGCAUACACAUUUACACACAUAUAUAAACCUACAUAGAUGCAUACAUAUAUAUUUAUAUAGUUCAGUGUAUAUAUAUUUUAAUAUAAUUCAUUGUGAAUAUGUAUAUGAUAUAUAAAUUGACAUUUAUUUAUAUAUUAUUAUUUUCAUUGCUAUAUUAUUAUUAUUAUUAUUAUCAUUAUUAUUAUUAUUAUUAUUAACAUAUUUGUAAUAUAUUAAUGUUGUAAUAAUAAUAUUUUUUCCUCACCCUUUUUCCACUAAUCCUGGGAUGGAGAGGUGUUGGAGCCAGCUCCCGAACUACAGGUCAGAGUUAAAGCUACACACAUUUUUUUUUGCGUAUAUAACACUAAUAAUGUUCCCCCACUGUGGGACUAAUAACCUGUUUUUUUUUUCUGUUUUCUUGGACAGUGCCAGGAAGCAUGGACAACAGACCUCGCCCCCACACUCCACUAAGAGCAUUACACAUUAACACACAUAUAUAAACCUACAUAGAUGCAUGCAUAUAUAUAUAUAUAUAUAUAUUUAUAUAGUUCAGUGUAUAUAUAUAUAUAUAUAUUUAUUUAUAUAAUUCAUUGUAUAUACGUAUAUGAUAUAUAAUUGUAUUAUUAUUAUUAUUAUUAUUAUUAUUAUUAUUAAUAACAUAUUUAUAUUAUAAUAUAUUUUUCUAUUGUUUUCAUUUAUUCCUCUUUUCCUCCUUCCUUUUUUCACUAAUCCUGGGAUGGAGAGGUGUUGGAGCCAGCUCCCGAACUACAGGUCAGAAUAAAGAAACACACAUUUUGUUUUGCUGAUAUAAC